GUGAUGAAGACACACCAAGGAGAGAGAUGAACGAAGUGGCCAGGGCUGA
rnacentral:snoRNA from 1 species